GACGAACGCUGGCGGCGUGCUUAACACAUGCAAGUCGAACGGAAAGGCCCUGCUUUUGUGGGGUGCUCGAGUGGCGAACGGGUGAGUAACACGUGAGUAACCUGCCCUUGACUUUGGGAUAACUUCAGGAAACUGGGGCUAAUACCGGAUAGGAGCUCCUGCUGCAUGGUGGGGGUUGGAAAGUUUCGGCGGUUGGGGAUGGACUCGCGGCUUAUCGGCUUGUUGGUGGGGUAGUGGCUUACCAAGGCUUUGACGGGUAGCCGGCCUGAGAGGGUGACCGGCCACAUUGGGACUGAGAUACGGCCCAGACUCCUACGGGAGGCAGCAGUGGGGAAUAUUGCACAAUGGGCGGAAGCCUGAUGCAGCAACGCCGCGUGCGGGAUGACGGCCUUCGGGUUGUAAACCGCUUUCGCCUGUGACGAAGCGUGAGUGACGGUAAUGGGUAAAGAAGCAUCGGCUAACUACGUG
rnacentral:rRNA from 1 species